CGUUGCCAUGGGAACGCAGCGGCGCCCCAGCGGAACCGAGCGUUUAUUACCUGAGAAUGGGCCGCGCGGACGCCGCCCCUCCCCCCGACCCCGGCCGAUAGACGCGCAUCCUCCAGGUCCCCGUCAGCCUUUCGGGGAAAGCAGAAAUCAGAUGCUGUGCGAAGGACCCUUUGCAAAAGCUUCAGCCUGCUGGCCGAGCCGGACGCCCCGGGUGGAGGCCCCUGCGGGAUCGGCCGGCGCAGCCCUUGCUUCGUCGCCAAUCCGGCUAGCCACCCAGGUCCGGGGUGCGAUGCGGGGUGCAGAGAGCCUCUUUCGCUUCGCCGACGCCCUAGGACCACGCCAGAAGGAGGAACGCAGCGGGGCGCCCCGCAGAUGCAGACAGAACCCCGACGUGGGCAUUUUUGCAGAACUAUCCCAAAGCCAAGCGGCGUUGACUACUACUACUCGCCCCUCAGGCUCUCUAAGAAGAGGGAGGGAGCGUAAAAGACACUCACCCCUCAGUCCUAGUUAUUGGAACAUGUUCCCAACACCCUGGCUGUCCCAGUGGCUGGAAGCUUAUUGCAGGAAGAUUUGCUACUUAGGAUUCCUCGUGUCCUCAGUCCAAUGACAUGAAGAAUACUGGCAUGAGGAGAAUCUGUAUCUGUGGCCAUCGUGAAAGGUGCAGUGGUAGGUGUGGAAGAAGCAACAUGAAGUUGAUGGAACUGCCAUUCCCAAGAAAGUGAUGUUGCCAAACCUCCAGCAUGUGAGGACCGGUGUGCCAGCUGAGGGCCAGCAGGCUGAAACACCAUGUGAGUAGGUUGCCCGAUGUCCACAAGGUGGCUGCCAGCAUGGUAGGUUGCUGAAUAUUGCUAUCACAGACAUCCCAGGAGUGAUUUUCCAGAGCUCCACUGUCUAGGUGUAGAGUGAAUGAUGGGCUAGUCCUAG
ensembl:lncRNA